rnacentral:rRNA from 1 species
UACGUAGGGUCCGAGCGUUGUCCGGAAUUAUUGGGCGUAAAGAGCUCGUAGGCGGUUUGUCGCGUCUGCUGUGAAAUCCCGAGGCUCAACCUCGGGUCUGCAGUGGGUACGGGCAGACUGGAGUGCGGUAGGGGAGAAUGGAAUUCCUGGUGUAGCGGUGAAAUGCUUAGAUAUGACCCAGAACACCAAUUGCGAAGGCAGCUCGCUAAACCAUAACUGACGCUGAUGCACGAAAGCGUGGGGAGCAAACAGG